rnacentral:rRNA from 1 species
GACGAACGCUGGCGGCGUGCUUAACACAUGCAAGUCGAACGGUAAGGCCCUUCGGGGUACACGAGUGGCGAACGGGUGAGUAACACGUGGGUGAUCUGCCCUGCACUUCGGGAUAAGCCUGGGAGACUGGGUCUAAUACCGGAUAGGACCACUGCCUGCAUGGGUGGUGGUGGAAAGCUUUUGCGGUGUGGGAUGGGCCCGCGGCCUAUCAGCUUGUUGGUGGGGUGAUGGCCUACCAAGGCGACGACGGGUAGCCGGCCUGAGAGGGUGACCGGCCACACUGGGACUGAGAUACGGCCCAGACUCCUACGGGAGGCAGCAGUGGGGAAUAUUGCACAAUGGGCGCAAGCCUGAUGCAGCGACGCCGCAUGAGGGAUGACGGCCUUCGGGUUGUAAACCUCUUUCAGCACCGACGAAGCGCAAGUGACGGUAGGUGCAGAAGAAGGACCGGCCAACUACGUGCCAGCAGCCGCAGUAA